rnacentral:rRNA from 1 species
GACAGAGGAUGCAAGCGUUAUCCGGAAUGAUUGGGCGUAAAGCGUCUGUAGGUGGCUUUUCAAGUCCGCCGUCAAAUCCCAGGGCUCAACCCUGGACAGGCGGUGGAAACUACCAAGCUGGAGUACGGUAGGGGCAGAGGGAAUUUCCGGUGGAGCGGUGAAAUGCGCAGAUAUCGGGAGGAACACCAGUAGCGAAGGCGGCACUCUGGGCCGGUACUGACGCUGAGGAGCGAAGGCGUGGGGAGCGAACAGG